CACUUGAAAAUGUGUGUGUAUAUAUGUGUAUAUUUAGAUAGGUCGCUCCACCAUUACUGUUUUUCUCUCUGUUGAUAUAGAGAAGGAGAGAUGGACUCAAACAUCACCGCUGUCAGCACUGUGACCAAUCCUUCUCAAGAUCUGGAUAUUUGAAGAUUCAUCAGAGAUCAAGAUCAUGAUUGUAGGACAAGAAGAGAGGGACUCAAACGUCACAGCUGUCAGCACUGUGACAAAUCCUUCAAAACAUCAGGCUGGAGUCACCAUCCCCUCUGAUGACUCGCCUGCCCGCUGCCACAGCUUUCUAUUAAAGGAAAAUUGGUGGGGAGGGCCAACCAACAGAGCACAGAGCGGUAGAGUCCAUCACAAGAAGCAUGCUGAGAAGACCACUGUUGGCUAAAGCGGUUAGCUUUGGCCUCACACAAGGCUAAUCUGUCUCAAUUGCAACAGACAGGAUGAACCUGGCAAUGAAUAGCAAUGUUGUAUCACCUGCUGCGUUUAAUCCAGGUUGCUAAUAAAACGGCUAUAAGGAAUUCUGUAACUGUAACCUGUUUUUCACU